UGAGUGGAGGAAUUGAGGAAGUCCUGUCAAGGAGAGCGGCCAUAUGUUCAGAUCCGGCCUCAGUUUUAAAAACUGAUAGGAAGUAAUUGGGGAGCUAGGCCAGACCUUGUUGUGGAAGUGAUGGCUCUGUUGUAUAAGAUGGAGAAGGCUGGAGGAUUGGUGGCAUUGUUUUGGUGCCU